CUUUUCCCUAAGACAAACUCACAGUCCUGCAGUGAUAGCAUCACCCAAAAGUCCUUUAGGGGUUCCUAAAGGACUCUCUCUGCAAUGAGCUCAGGGGGCAAGAUGGCAUGUGCUAAUCCCUGAGAGCACUGCAGCCCAGUGUGCGUGUGGAGUGAACUUUUGGCUAAACGAGGCAGGAAAAGAACGAGCACAUGCAGCAACUACGUCUGCCUAUGCAGCCAGUGCAAAUGCUGAGGGCCAGCUGGACAAGACUGCAUGCAAAUGGGGUCAGGUGAGAGGCCCAGGUAGCACCCACUGAGCUCCACCAUUUCUCCACCUUCUCUUGCCCAAAUGUGUGACGAAGGUACACAGAACUCUUCACACAUCCUGCUAUGUACAGCUCCAUCUGGCAAAGUGGAAAAACAGAAGGCAGACACAAGGAGAGAAAGAAGGCACAAAGAAGGAUACCUCACUGAAGAAGCCUACCUCUGCUUGCAUUGUGCUGCUGUUCUGAGCAGAGGAGGACCCUCCUCACCCAUGGUUCCGCCUGUCAGAUGGCAGGUGCAUGCUCAGCUCCCUAAGCCCCGUUUUGGCCAUUCUGGGUUCUGCCAUCACCCAGCAGCAGAGGCAUGCAUUUUUUCUGCAGCAGAGGGGCAAGGCCCCUGGCAGUGGAGGUAGGCCACAUGACGUGACACGACUGCACCCUCUCCAGCACUGUAAAUAUGCCACGCUUCUUUUUAUUGUUGUGUCAUAAUCACAAAGCUCCUUUAAUGUAGUUUGUUUAACUGGAUGACUUCUGCGCUAAAAAUAAGUGGAUCUCGCUGUUUCCAGGACAACCACCAUCCCAACGGCUUAUCUUGGCGCCUCUCCUCUGUCAGAAAGAUGUUCUAAAAAGAGAUGGCCAUGAAUAUUAAAGACUAGGCAUGCACACAAUAAAGCAUUCCAUGGGAAGAGCCCCGUGUUUAAA
rnacentral:lncRNA from 1 species